rnacentral:misc_RNA from 1 species
GCAGGAAGUGAAAAAAUUAAAGAAGAAAAAUAGGAGAGAGAGCCCUAAAUUAAUAGAACAAGAAAGAAAUUUGAUUCAAGAAUAUCAAGAAAUAACAGAAAAGAAAUCUGAAUAUAGGAAAGGGAAGAUGAUGCGUCCCAUAUUGAUUCUGCAGGGAAGUUUUAGGUGUUAUAUAUAUAAGUUUGCAAACCUCCCUUUGUAAGCUAGUUUUUGAGAUGGAGUUAGGCAAGUU